rnacentral:rRNA from 1 species
UACAGAGGGUGCAAGCGUUAAUCGGAUUCAUUGGGCGUAAAGGGUGUGUAGGUGGCGCCGUAAGUCGGGUGUGAAAUUUCGGAGCUUAACUCCGAAACUGCAUUCGAUACUGCGGUGCUUGAGGACUGGAGAGGAGACUGGAAUUCAUGGUGUAGCAGUGAAAUGCGUAGAGAUCAUGAGGAAGACCAGUGGCGAAGGCGGGUCUCUGGACAGUUCCUGACACUGAGACACGAAGGCCAGGGGAGCAAACGGG